ACUGAAAAGUGAGGAGAAAGUACUGAAAGUGCAGUUUGAACAGCUUUAAGCUCCCUCCUCAUACAAUUCAUAUUCGACCGUCGAUGAUCAAUGUUGAAAAGGACCCGAAGCUUUCAAAUAUCAGGACCGUUGAUGCACUCGAAAUAGUACAAACAAGUAAUAAACCAAAGCCUGCAUAUCUUUCAAAGAUUUUGAUUGCACUUUUAAGCUAUGACGGGAUC